AACGCUGGCGGCGCGCCUAAUACAUGCAAGUCGAACGGAAGUUUAAGCAAUUAAACUUUAGUGGCGAACGGGUGAGUAACGCGUAAGCAAUCUGCCCCUAAGACGAGGAUAACAGUUGGAAACGACUGCUAAGACUGGAUAGGAGAUAAGAAGGCAUCUUUUUAUUUUUAAAAGACCUAGCAAUAGGUAUGCUUAGGGAAGAGCUUGCGUCACAUUAGUUAGUUGGUGGGGUAAUGGCCUACCAAGACGAUGAUGUGUAGCCGGGCUGAGAGGUCGAACGGCCACAUUGGGACUGAGACACGGCCCAAACUCCUACGGGAGGCAGCAGUAAGGAAUUUUCGGCAAUGGAGGAAACUCUGACCGAGCAAUGCCGCGUGAACGAUGAAGUAUUUCGGUACGUAAAGUUCUUUUAUUAGGGAAGAAAAGAUGGUGGAAAAACCAUUAUGACGGUACCUAAUGAAUAAGCCCCGGCUAACUAUGUGCCAGCAGCCGCGGUAAUACAUAGGGGGCAAGCGUUAUCCGGAAUUAUUGGGCGUAAAGGGUGCGUAGGCGGUUAAAUAAGUUUAUGGUCUAAGUGCAACGCUCAACGUUGUGAUGCUAUAAAAACUGUUUAGCUAGAGUUGGAUAGAGGCAAGUGGAAUUCCGUGUGUAGUGGUAAAAUGCGUAAAUAUACGGAGGAACACCAGAAGCGAAGGCGGCUUGCUGGGUCUUAACUGACGCUGAGGCACGAAAGCGUGGGGAGCAAACAGGAUUAGAUACCCUGGUAGUCCACGCCCUAAACGAUGAGUACUAAACGUUGGAUAAAACCAGUGUUGAAGUUAACACAUUAAGUACUCCGCCUGAGUAGUACGUACGCAAGUAUGAAACUUAAAGGAAUUGACGGGACUCCGCACAAGCGGUGGAUCAUGUUGUUUAAUUCGAAGGUACCCGAAAAACCUCACCAGGUCUUGACAUGCUUUUGCAAAGCUGUAGAAAUACAGUGGAGGUUAUCAGAAGCACAGGUGGUGCAUGGUUGUCGUCAGCUCGUGUCGUGAGAUGUUGGGUUAAGUCCCGCAACGAGCGCAACCCUUGUUGUUAAUUGCCAUCAUUAAGUUGGGGACUUUAGCAAGACUGCCAAUGAUAAAUUGGAGGAAGGUGGGGACGACGUCAAAUCAUCAUGCCCCUUAUGACCUGGGCUACAAACGUGAUACAAUGGCUGUUACAAAGGGUAGCUAAAGCGUAAGCUUCUGGCGAAUCUCAAAAAAGCAGUCUCAGUUCGGAUUGAAGUCUGCAACUCGACUUCAUGAAGUUGGAAUCGCUAGUAAUCGCGAAUCAGCAUGUCGCGGUGAAUACGUUCUCGGGGUUUGUACACACCGCCCGUCAAACCACGAAAGUUGGCAAUACCCAAAGCCGGUGGCCUAACUUGAGCAAUCAAGA
rnacentral:rRNA from 1 species